rnacentral:rRNA from 1 species
GAUUUGAAAGGCGCUUUCGGGUGUCGCUGAUGGAUGGACCCGCGGUGCAUUAGCUAGUUGGUGAGGUAACGGCUCACCAAGGCCACGAUGCAUAGCCGACCUGAGAGGGUGAUCGGCCACAUUGGGACUGAGACACGGCCCAAACUCCUACGGGAGGCAGCAGUAGGGAAUCUUCGGCAAUGGACGAAAGUCUGACCGAGCAACGCCGCGUGAGUGAAGAAGGUUUUCGGAUCGUAAAACUCUGUUGUUAGAGAAGAACAAGGAUGAGAGUAACUGUUCAUCCCUUGACGGUAUCUAACCAGAAAGCCACGGCUAACUACGUGCCAGCAGCCGCGGUAAUACGUAGGUGGCAAGCGUUGUCCGGAUUUAUUGGGCGUAAAGCGAGCGCAGGCGGUUUCUUAAGUCUGAUGUGAAAGCCCCCGGCUCAACCGGGGAGGGUCAUUGGAAACUGGGAGACUUGAGUGCAGAAGAGGAGAGUGGAAUUCCAUGUGUAGCGGUGAAAUGCGUAGAUAUAUGGAGGAACACCAGUGGCGAAGGCGGCUCUCUGGUCUGUAACUGACGCUGAGGCUCGAAAGCGUGGGGAGCAAACAGGAUUAGAUACCCUGGUAGUCCACGCCGUAAACGAUGAGUGCUAAGUGUUGGAGGGUUUCCGCCCUUCAGUGCUGCAGCUAACGCAUUAAGCACUCCGCCUGGGGAGUACGACCGCAAGGUUGAAACUCAAAGGAAUUGACGGGGGCCCGCACAAGCGGUGGAGCAUGUGGUUUAAUUCGAAGCAACGCGAAGAACCUUACCAGGUCUUGACAUCCUUUGACCACUCUAGAGAUAGAGCUUCCCCUUCGGGGGCAAAGUGACAGGUGGUGCAUGGUUGUCGUCAGCUCGUGUCGUGAGAUGUUGGGUUAAGUCCCGCAACGAGCGCAACCCUUAUUGUUAGUUGCCAUCAUUCAGUUGGGCACUCUAGCAAGACUGCCGGUGACAAACCGGAGGAAGGUGGGGAUGACGUCAAAUCAUCAUGCCCCUUAUGACCUGGGCUACACACGUGCU